AGUGGUCGGCGGUAUUUAUGGAUGGGUGGAGGGUGGGGCGUUAGGUUAGGCGUGGUGGCGAGGCUGCUUGCCUUGGUUGUUUAGGGGUUCGGUUAGAGCAGAGGCUAGCUGAGGUCGAGGGGAAGGAGGCCAGGAGGGGCGGCGGGGUUCUACGUCUAGAAACAGUUCUGGGAGUGACCGUUCUGGUAGUGGGAACUCCAGCUCAGCAGACUAUGGUAGCUGUUACAGUUCCGAUUCUAGGUCCUGUUCCUCCCGUAGGGGGGCCUGGUCGUCGCGGAGUAGAAACGACCGUUCGUCGACCUCCUGCCGUCCUGGGAACGACUGAUGUUGUAGGUCUUCCUCAGGUGGGAGGUGGAACAGGAGGCAGAAGCACCUCCGUACGUCUAGAAACACUUCUGGGAGUGACCGUUCUGGUAAUGCGAACUCCACCUCAGUAGGCUGUGGUAGCUGUUACACUUCUGUUCCUCCCGUAGGGCGGCCUGGUCGUCGCGGAGUAGAAACGACCAUUCGUCGACCUCCUACCGUCCUGGGAACGACUGAUGUUGUAGGUCUUCCUCAGGUGGGAAGUGGAACAGGACGCAGAGGCUCCACCAUACGUCUAGAAACACUUCUGGGAAUGGCCGUUCUGGUAGUGAGACCUCCAACUCUCGAGUCUGUGGUAGCUGUUGCAGUUCCGGUUCUAGGUCCUGUUCCUCCCGUAAGGGGGCCUGGUCGUCGCAGAGUAGAAACGGCCGUUCGUCGACCUCCUACCAGCGUGGGAGCGACUGAUGUUGUAGGUCUUCCUUAGGUGAGAGGUGGACCACGAGGCGGAGGCGCCACCAGUCAUUUACGGGACUCAUGAGACCACCCACGGGGACAGCGAGCACACUUCACAAUUCAGAGCAAACACAGUUCAGGAUGGCACAGACCAAAGUACCUGGUAGCUCAGGGACACUCUACACAACCAAAGCAAAUUUGUCAACACUCUACACAACCAAAGCAAAUUUGUCAACACUCUACACAACCAAAGCAAAUUUGUCAACACUCUACACAACCAAAGCAAAUUUGUCAACGACGAUAUCGUCAUGCCAGUUCAUACUUAUUCACUUGAAACUUGAUUAGACGGAUACGUGUAAAAUGGAAGGCCAACUUAACCAACGGAGAAGAUCAAAAAUAGUCGGGGUAGAAACAAAACGAAGACUCCUCCAUGACUCAUAGACGAAGAAAACGGUACAAAUGUCCUUGUAUAGAAGAGAAAAAGAACAAAUUAAAUUAACAUACAUAAGUCAUAGUCCAGUACUUUGGAAUUUAUUGGGCU
rnacentral:rRNA from 1 species